CCUACGGGAGGCAGCAGUGGGGAAUAUUGCACAAUGGGGGGAACCCUGAUGCAGCGACGCCGCGUGGGUGAAGGAGUACUUCGGUACGUAAAGCCCUAUCAGCAGGAAAGAAAAUGACGGUACCUGACUAAGAAGCCCCGGCUAACUACGUGCCAGCAGCCGCGGUAAUACGGAGGAUCCGAGCGUUAUCCGGAUUCAUUGGGUUUAAAGGGUGCGUAGGUUGUUUUAUAAGUUAGCGGUGAAAUACCGAUGCUCAACAUCGGGGCUGCCGCUGAUACUGUAGGACUAGAGAUCGGAUGCAGCAGGCGGAAUGUGUAGUGUAGCGGUGAAAUGCAUAGAUAUCACGCAGAACUCCGAUUGCGAAGGCAGCUUACUAAGCCAUAACUGACACUGAAGCACGAAAGCGUGGGGAUCAAACAGGAUUAGAUACCCCAGUAGUC
rnacentral:rRNA from 1 species